rnacentral:rRNA from 1 species
UACCAGCACCCCGGGUGGUCGGGACGAUUAUUGGGCCUAAAGCAUCCGUAGCCGGUCAUGCAAGUCCUCCGUUAAAUCCACCUGCUUAACAGAUGGGCUGCGGAGGAUACUACAAGGCUAGGAGGCGGAAGAGGCAAGCGGUACUCAGUGGGUAGGGGUAAAAUCCUCUGAUCCAUUGAAGACCACCAGUGGCGAAGGCGGCUUGCCAAUACGCGCUCGACGGUGAGGGAUGAAAGCUGGGGGAGCAAACCGG